AAUAUUACUGGAAGUGAUUGUUUCUAGUUUUAAACAAUUAAAUUUAAAUAAUUAAUAUUAUUUGCAGCACACCCAAACAAAGCAAAUCAGCUCAACUAAUCUUGUCUCAACAUCCUGGAUCUGGCAAUCAGCCAACCAACAUUAAAUCGAUACAACCGCAGCAGUACCAACUACUCCAAAUCCAGCAACAGCCCCUCAAAAAAGGACCACAUAGCAAUUACUGCUCAAACGAACAACAGGAGUUUACGAAUGAUGGACACAUCGGAAAACAUUUCAUCGGCACAUUCUGCCUUAAAACAUGUCUGCCACUAUUUUUGAAAAUAUCACUGCCUACACAGUGCUCGUGAUUCCAUUCCAGCAGCAGCAAGCAAUCACUAUUCGAGUGCUUAUCGCCAACAUUUCACAGCAAGCUCAGCAGCAGAACCACCUUCAACCACAACAUCAGAAAAUUAAGAUUUCUUCCAGACCAUGACCAUCAUCCUAAAGGUCGGUAGCAAUAACGUUCAACCGACGGUACAACCUGGUCAGCAACCGCAAUUAGUGCAAUAGAUCCAACCCAAAUGUAGAUUUACCAACUGCAAAAAAGAUAGCAACAGCACAUUCAAACACAGUAGCAGCAGCAUACUAUACUGUACCAUGCGGUGUGCAGGAGGACUUUUUUAUUCAGUUGGUGCGGCAAGAUCGAACACCAACAACAUAAUAUCAUGGUAAUCACCCAGCAAGAGAACGCAGUGAUAAUGGGCCAACAGAAAACACAACAUCAAGAUGCUCGGAAAGGACUUUCUCUUUCGAACAAACAUAAUGGCACGUCAUCUUCAAUCGGCUAACCGUUUGGAAUAAGCGCUCAUCAUCGGUUUCAUGGCAGGGAAGUGAGCAGGCAAAAGAAGGCAUCGUUUUUUCCGCAAGGUCGCUCUGGUCAAAAUUUCUGCGAAUUGCAAGGAAUAAACCACCCGAGGGACAAUACCCGUGCUGAUUCAGGACGAUUUCCCAUACUUUGUACCUUGCUAUUGAAUUUUAAUACCCGAUCGAAACGAUGGCAAGCGCUGCCGAUAAUUGGGUCAAAAAGACGACGGAUCAAGAAAUUUCUGCACUCGGUUAGCGAACUGAGUACAUAUCAUCAAGGAUAAGGAUUCAGAGCCGGCGGCUGGCAGUCCAGAGAAAGAGAAUGCGGAAAAACCUAGUCCACCGGCAGUAGAACCAAAGCUGCACCUGAUGUUUGGAGUUCGGUAGCUACAGAAAUUCUGACUCUAGCAGCUCCUGAAGAAAAACAAGCUGCAAGAGAAAAUGGAGAAACACCUUCCUCCGCGGAAGAUGCAGAGGCAUUCAAGUAAGUCGAAAUCUGCAGAAAAUUUUGAUUAGGACAUAAGGAACAUUGACAGCCUCUCUUUGUUUACUUUCUCUUUCGAUUAUGACGUCACUAUAACACUUUGCACUAAUUUUCCAGUACAUAGCCGAUGGUUUUUACUAAAAUAUUAGGCAAAGAGUUGAGUACUAAAUAUUGAAACGA